CCACUACUCUUCCCUCUGCCUUGAUUUUGUCUGUUUAUUUUGUCUAACUACUCUAUAAUGGCCUGACCUAAGAAAAUAUGGUCAUGCACAAUCAGGUUAUUUUUGAAUUUUUAAAUAUGAAAUUGAUGAACUUCAGCUAUAAAUUUAUUUAUUUAUUUUGUCUUUUUAGGGCAGCACCCGUGGCAUAUGUAAAUUCCCAGGCUAGGGGUUGAAAUGAGCUGCAGCUGCUGGCCUAUGCUACAGUCACAGCAGUGCCAACUCUGAGCUGAGUCUGCAAACUACAUCAUAGCUCACAGCAACCCCAGAUCCUUAACCCAUUUAGUGGGGCCAGGGAUCGAACCUGCAACUUCAUGGAUACUAGUCCGGUUCGUUACUGCUGAGCCACAACAGGAACCCCUCAAUUUAUGCUUUAUAUUGCUUUAUUACUGCCUAAUGAAAAAUAGUAUCUAAGUAGAUACUUAACUAAUUCCUUGAAAUGAGUUGAAUGAAAUACUGACAUAAAAAUAUAAUGAGAAUAAUUUUGCCACACUAAUGAUGUCAUUAGCAUUUUACUCCUAAAAGCCGUGUAUACAAACAACUAAUCUGAAGUUUCCUCCCAGACUGAAGGCUUAAAUCGCUGCUAAAGGAAUAGAUCUGAAUGAUGUUUUUCUUCAAAGCAUAAUUUCAAAAUUUAUCUAUGUAGCCUUCUGUGGUCACCUUUACCUCGUUCAAGUUCUUAUUUUUUGUAAUUUAUUUUUUCAAAUUCUAUAAAGCCACAAUAUUAAUGUUCCAGCAAGAUAUUUAAAAAGUAUCUUGGACCUGGAAACAAAAGUUUUGUUUCAAAGAGAGAUGUGAUAACGUCUCUCAUAAUAAUGGUGGAUUUAUUUCACCUCUGAGUUUUUAAAGUUUGAUUUAUAUAAAUUGAGAGUUUUAUAGUUACAUAUAUAUUUAAAUUUGUCCUUCUGGUGGGUUAAUUCUUUUAUACUAUGAAAUAUUCUGCUUUAGUAAAGACUCCUGUGUUAAAAUCUACUCUAUUUGCAGCAUAGCUCUAUGAGUGGUGAAUUUUUUAAAUGCAAUAUUACAAAUUACUAAAAAAGUAGCUAUUAAAAUAGCACACAUUUAUUAUCUUUUAGUUUCUAGGGUCAGGAAUCUGGGUACAGAUUACCUAGGUCCUCUGCUAAGGGUCUUGCAAGGUUGCAUUCAAAAUGUUUGUCUGGCAUGGCUGCCACCUCUUCUGCUAUUUGGAGUCCUUUUCUAAGCUCACUGGUUAUUGGCAGCAAUCUCUCCUUGUAGCUGUGGGGCUGAAGUUAAUACUUGUAUUCACUGUUGGGUGGAAGGCACUCUCAAUUCCUGGAAGAUGCCUUCCAUUUCCAGCCAUCAGGCCCUUUCAGAGGAGCUUACUUCAUCUAAGCUAGAUAGGGGGUCCCUCUCUCAUUCUCUCCCUUUAGGGAAAGCCUGGGAUUUCUUAUAAAGGCCCAUCUGAUUAAGUCAAGUCCAUCAUGGAUAAUCUCUUUUUGCUCAACUCAAAGGCAAUAGGUUAGAGACCUUAAUUGUAUCUGCUAAUCCUUUCACCACUUCUUUACCAUUCCCACCCUCAUAGAGUGGAAUCCUAGCAGAAUCACAAACCCUCUUUAUCUUUUGUUCAUUGUCAUGUUUUUAAACUUUCUAAGACAUUGUUUCAUUUUCUAUAGUCAAUAUUUAUUAUACUUAAAGAUUUACAUAGUUUCUCUAUAUUCUUUUCUGCAUCACUGUGCUUCUGAAUGGGAUCAUUUUCCACCUGCUUUUAGUGAUAUCUUUAGCAUUUCCUCUUGUACAGUUUGGUUACUAACUCUGUCAUUUAUUUAUUUCCUCUGUACAGUUCGGUUACUAACUUUGUUAGGUUACUUUCUUCUUGUAAAAACAUGUCUAUCCUAUUUCAUUUUAUAGGGAAUUUUUUUCUUUAAUACCUGGAUACUCUAAGAAACAGUUGCCAAACAGAAGCAGAUGUGAAAGAUACUGUUUAGAGGAAAUGCCCGUGAGAGAGAAUGAGAAGGGUGCAAUAAAAGGCUGAGAGAGUUCUGGGAUGGCAACACAGGUUAGACUGAUAGAGAAAGUAGGGAGAACGAUGAGAAAGGUUAUUUCAAAGUGUUUUUGCAGUAUUUGGAGGGAAAAUUCACAAAGUCAAUGAAGGAAGAUUCAAGCCACAAUUACUCCAUCAGAAGAGUCUCCAAACUCUUAGGAAUGGGCUUGCCAUAGUGUCCCUGCCACAUUCACUCAUUAGCAUUCUGUGAGAAGUAUGCUUUCUGAACUAAUUUAGGCAUGGAUUUCAGAGCACAGAAGCCAGGACCUUUGGUCAAUUACAUGCCCGGCAGCUGGGGAUUUGAGAAGAGCAUUGUUAUGGCAGCUAAAGUAUAGAUUUCUAUUUUUGUAUUUAUUUCAGAACUCAGAACAGUAUCUUUUGUUUUCCAUUUGCCAUUGCUUCUGUCAAGAAAUCAGCUCUCAGUCUUAUUGUUACUGGUUUGAAAGUAGUAUGUUUAGGGAAGGAUACAUUAGGAAUUUGGAUUAGUAGAUGCAGACUAUAUUAUAUAUUAGUAGAUGUAGACUAUUGGAUAAACAACAAGAUCCUACUGUAUAGCAUAGGGAACUAUUCACUAUCCUGUGAUAAACCACACUGGAAAAGAAUAUAAAAAAUGAUGUAUAUGUGUGUAUAACUGAAUGGUUAUUUUGCUGUACAAUAAAAAUUAACACAUUAGAAAUCAAUUAUACUUUAAUUUAAAAAAUUAAAAAUGUCUUUUUAUGUCCAGUUUUAAUAUUUCUAUUCUUGAUUUCUAGGAAUUUUAUAAUGAAAGCCAAGAUGGGGAUUGCUUUGAUUUUAUCAUUUUGCUGUUUUAAGGACUUCUUUAAUAUGGCUUCAUAUCUUUCAUAACUUUAGAAAAUUCUCAGUCAUUAUAUCUCCAAAUAUAACUUGCCAACAUUAUUAGGGAUCUUUGCCCUACUUGGACAAGUAUAUGCACAAUGAACAUUAUGCACUUUUACACUGUAUCCCUAAUGUCUCUUGGGACCUUUUCAAUACUUUCUACUAUUUUGCCUUUUUAUGCUUCAGACUAGAAUAUUUUCAUGUAAGCUUAAUCUCAGUUCUCCAAUCUUCUACCCUUUUAUAUUGUGUAAAUCUAAUAUUAAGUCCAUUUGAUGAGUUCUUAUUUUCAACUAUAGUAUUUUUCAAUUCUAGAAUUUCUUUAUUAAAAAUAUACUUUGUUUCACUGCUGAACUCUCCAUGUUUUGGUUUAUCAUCUUAAACAUAUUAAUUAUAGAUCACUGAAAGUCCAAGUUCAAUAUUUACAUUGCCUAUAGAUCCAUUUUAUUAUUAUUUUAUUUAAUAAAAAACAUGGUCAUACAAUUAGUUGAAAAUGAAAAUAUAGAAUAAUUUUUUGAAGAUAUUAUUUUUCUAAAGACAUGAUUAAUUUUUGUUUCUGACAGGUAAUCAUGUAUAUUUAUCUACUCAAGUGUUUAAGUGAUUUAAAGCUGGGCUUUAGCCACUGUGAAACAUGAUCAAUUUCUAAUGUAUUCUUUUGUUAGCUUUGGCCUUGGGUUUCUCAAAUGAAAAUGUGGAGACCUACUUUUAUACUAAUAUCCAAAUCCAAAUGCUCACCUUCCCUGGUCCAUGUCAGAUGUAGAAAAUUCUCCUCACUUUCAAGCCUUUGCUUUUGAAUCAGCAGAUUCUCUAAGAAGUGCUUCCAAAUAGUCAGCUAAUUUUUCUGAUCUUCCUUUCCAGGAUGUCUGGACACUUCAAAUUCUUGCUGUCUUAACAGCUUUCUGAUGUCUCUGAACAAAUGUUGUUAUAUCAUUACGUACAGGUUUAGUUCUACUCAGUCGUGCAAGUGGACCAAAUAAAGCUAGCACAUUUGAUGAAGGUAGUAAUUCCCUUUUACUAAGUAUUAGAGAAAAAAUUAUAAAAGUCAAUCUUUUUCCUAUAUUUACUCACUGCCUUUGCAGAGUUAAUGCAAAUAUAGUGAGAUUUUCUUUCUUUAUUUGGUGUUUCACUAGGCUUUGACUAAUUCUGAUUAACAGGAUAACAUAUGCAGAUGUGUUCUAAACUGUAUUGAAGGUAAUUUAUUUUUAAACAGAAAGGCAUGUAUUUGACUCCUGUUACACUUAUCUAACUUUAUCAGUUCAAAGAGAAAUCAAUUUAUAAAAAUUAGAUCAUAACUUUCAAAUCUAAAUUGAGAAAAUGUCUUAAAAAUAUGUGUAGGACAGUUAAUAAUGUAAAAGCAUCUACUUUUAAAAUUUAAAAGUUGCAUGUUUAAUAGCAAAAUUAAAUGGAUAAAUAGUGAAAAUUAAUAUUUUUUAGUUUCAAAGUAAAUGUCACAUUGAGCAUUUUUAACUGAAGAGUAGAUAUUUAACAACAUGGCUAAUGAGCAUCCAAUCUGGAAAUAAGAAUUUAGAUUAUAAUACACAAGAAGGCCAUUUAAUUUGAAAUGCCUUCUCCCUAAUAUAAGCAUGAAAGUUAAACACAUAUUAGGUAGACUAAAUUAACUUUUCAAAAUACCCUUGAAAAUAUAAAUUUAAACUAUAUAUUAUUAAGUCUAGAAAUUAUGUAAUUGGAAAGAAAAUUAUUGUCUAUGCUAUAACUAUAUUGUUAACAAAUUUUACUUUUGGGAGUUCCCAUCGUGGCUCAGCAGAAACGAAUGUGGGUUCAACCCCUGAUACUUGCUUAGUGGCUCAGUGCUGCUGUGAUCUAUGGUGUAGGUCACAGAUGCAGCUCGAAUCCCACAUUGCUGUGGCUAUAGCCUAGGCCGGCUGCUAUAGCUCUGAUUCGACCCCUAGCCUGAGAAUUCCAUAUGCCUCAGGUGCGGCC
rnacentral:lncRNA from 1 species